rnacentral:piRNA from 1 species
UGGGAAAGGCGUGACCCAACGAGAGC